rnacentral:rRNA from 1 species
AACCUCUGUUCGGGUGAG